rnacentral:rRNA from 1 species
AGGUUUUAGAAUUUACACUCCCCAACCCCUGUGACUACCAAUUGUUGCCUCGGCGGAUCAGCCCGCUCCCGGUAAAACGGGACGGCCCGCCAGAGGACCCCUAAACUCUGUUUCUAUAUGUAACUUCUGAGUAAAACCAUAAAUAAAUCAAAACUUUCAACAACGGAUCUCUUGGUUCUGGCAUCGAUGAAGAACGCAGCAAAAUGCGAUAAGUAAUGUGAAUUGCAGAAUUCAGUGAAUCAUCGAAUCUUUGAACGCACAUUGCGCCCGCCAGUAUUCUGGCGGGCAUGCCUGUUCGAGCGUCAUUUCAACCCUCAAGCCCCCGGGUUUGGUGUUGGGGAUCGGCGAGCCCUUGCGGCAAGCCGGCCCCGAAAUCUAGUGGCGGUCUCGCUGCAGCUUCCAUUGCGUAGUAGUAAAACCCUCGCAACUGGUACGCGGCGCGGCCAAGCCGUUAAACCCCCAACUUCUGAAUGUUGACCUCGGAUCAGGUAGGAAUACCCGCUGAACUUAAGCAUAUCAAUAAGCGGAGGAA